CAGAGGUUUGUCAUUUUAUAAUGGCAGAACUUUUAGAGAAAUCAUAGUUCUUGGGCUCUGGGGGAACUACGACCGCAAGGCUGAAACUUGAAGGAAUUGACGGAAGGGCACACCAGGGGUGGAGCCUGUGGCUUAAUUUGAAUCAACACGGGGAAACUUACCAGGACCAGAUGUUUUUAUGACUGACAGGCUUCGGGUCUUUCAGGAUAUUGCUUUUGGUGGUGCAUGGCCGUUGGUGGUGCGUGGGUUGACCUGUCAAGCGUUGAUUCAGCUAACGAGCGAGAUUAUCGCCAAUUAUAUAGCUCGC
rnacentral:rRNA from 1 species